UCCACAAAUCCACAACACAAAGCAUAACCAGUAAUCAUCAAUGGCGACCUCACUCUCCAACAUCUUCUCCUUCAUCUUGCCCUCAAACCCACCCCUCAAGGCUCCUCCUCCACCACCACCCUCCCACCUCUCUCUCUCUUCUAAUAUUGUUCCCAACCCACAAAAACCCAGAAACGCUUUGAUUUCAAAGGUGGCUCAAGAGAGUCAUAACUCGUCUUCUUCACACUUAUCAACUGAAUUGGCCUCCGUUAUAUGUCCUUCUCUUGUGUAUGCGAAUACCCUCUUCUUUAAAUCUGCGUACAAUGUUCAGGUGAUUGUCGAUGAGAAUGAACCUGAAGAAAGGCUGUUGAAUAGGUUUAGAAGAGAGGUGAUGAAAGCUGGUGUCAUUCAAGAGUGUAAAAGAAGGAGGUUUUAUGAGAAUAAGCAAGAUGAGAAGAAGCGGAAGACGCGUGAGGCUGCUAAGCGUAAUCGGAGAAGGCGCACAGGAGGAAGAUUUUCUUUUCAGAACAGGCAAGAACCGUCAGCAAACAAGAAGAAAGAAGUAGAAGAAGAAGAUAACUGGGAGCUGCCUGAAGGAGACAUUCCUUAUUGACUACAUUGGACCAUGUAUUGUAUCUGUAGGACCAUCCGCUGUGAACUUGAUUUUGAGAGGCUUUUGGUUCUUUUUAAGUUCUUGCCCAUAUAUGUGAGCUCAGUAUGGUUGCGAUGAUAUCGGAGGUAUGAGAUCCUGCAAUCUGAAUUAUGAUGGUGAGUAUCAUAUAGGAGUAUUGUUAGAAGUUUCUCGGACAAAAAAGAAUUUAUGAACCUCUCCCUUUGUGGUCAGAUGGUAAGUCCUUUAGUUACUGAGGUUAGUUAUACCCAAGGGUUUUGUGUUCAAGUCGCGAGAGAAACACUUAUCACAUUUGUACAAUUACCUUGGUCCAUUGGGUUCGGGCUCGUAGAGUGUUUUGUGACCCUGAGAAUUAGGCAGGCUUGGCUUAGCUGAUAAUUGUGCCC